AAUUUGUCCUUUCCCCAUUGAGUUCAUCUCUAAAGCCAAUGGUUCAUUCCCUAAUGGUGUGUUAAAAGUAGACUGCAAAAAUAUAUGGUCAAGGGUUGCUUUUUGGCCAUUAAUGGUCCUUCUUUCCAAUCCACGUUGGAGCUCCCGGUUACGGAGGACCUUGUAAGACCAUUUCCAUUUAGACAUGUCCCAUGUUCCAGAGUUAACUCCCUGCAGUGUCACUGGACCAAGAACCCCAGUAUUCCAAGUCUCAUAAUGCACGCCAACGUUCUGUGACAAUAAAGACCACAAAGCUCAGAACACGAUCAGUAGUAUAUAGGCAAAAAGCGUAGAGAGAGCUAGUUAGUUUAUUGAGAGAACUAACCGGCAGCCCCGCUGCAGUACUCAACAGAGCAAGUUUGUUGACUCCUGCAUGUAAUUUGAUCUUCUGACUAAAUGUUAGCUUUGGUUGCUUCAGUGAUCCAUAAGCAGUUCCUGAAACGAAGAAAGGAUUUUUAGCAAAAGACAAGCUUAGC